UACGUAGGGUGCGAGCGUUGUCCGGAAUUAUUGGGCGUAAAGAGCUCGUAGGCGGUGUGUCACGUCGGCCGUGAAAACCUGCAGCUUAACUGUGGGCGUGCGGUCGAUACGGGCAUCACUGGAGUUCGGCAGGGGAGACUGGAAUUCCUGAUGUAGCGGUGAAAUGCGCAGAUAUCAGGAGGAACACCGGUGGCGAAGGCGGGUCUCUGGGCCGAUACUGACGCUGAGGAGCGAAAGCGUGGGGAGCGAACAGG
rnacentral:rRNA from 1 species